GACGAAUGCUGGCGGCGUGCCUAAUACAUGCAAGUUGAGCGCUGAAGGUUGGUACUUGUACCAACUGGAUGAGCAGCGAACGGGUGAGUAACGCGUGGGGAAUCUGCCUUUGAGCGGGGGACAACAUUUGGAAACGAAUGCUAAUACCGCAUAAAAACUUUAAACACAAGUUUUAAGUUUGAAAGAUGCAAUUGCAUCACUCAAAGAUGAUCCCGCGUUGUAUUAGCUAGUUGGUGAGGUAAAGGCUCACCAAGGCGAUGAUACAUAGCCGACCUGAGAGGGUGAUCGGCCACAUUGGGACUGAGACACGGCCCAAACUCCUACGGGAGGCAGCAGUAGGGAAUCUUCGGCAAUGGACGAAAGUCUGACCGGGCAACGCCGCGUGAGUGAAGAAGGUUUUCGGAUCGUAAAACUCUGUUGGUAGAGAAGAACGUUGGUGAGAGUGGAAAGCUCAUCAAGUGACGGUAACUACCCAGAAAGGGACGGCUAACUACGUG
rnacentral:rRNA from 1 species